rnacentral:lncRNA from 1 species
UAAAUGUACUUUUCCUAUCAAUCUUUCACUUCAGGCUUUGGACACCUCUUCCUCUGCCUGCAUACUUAUGAAGAGUCAGUGCUGGGCUUUAAAUGCAGCUCAGCCCAACUCAGCUGCUGUAUAUGAGUUUCUUCUGUAUUAAAGUUUGGCCAGAACCAGUUUCAAGGCAGCUGAAAGAAGAACCGACCUCCCUUCCUCCGGUGUGUUGGGAUCUUUACAGCAGCCCAUGCCGCAGCGCCUCGCCCAUCCCACCCGAGCUGCUCAUGCCACUGGCCUGGACCUAACCUAGGCUCAGUCUCAGCGUGGGCUGGGCAGGGGGCACCAUGGGGAGCUCUGCCUCAUCGCUGGCCGCGGAGACGGAGUCGGACCAUGGCUUCGGUAGCGCGCCCUACCCGGGGCACCCGGCCGUGGGCUGGUAUAGGAGCAGCCACGGCGGCCCCGUGUGGGAAAGUGCCCUUAUAACGCGGCAGCAGCAGCACCUCCAGCACCGGGUGCGAAGGUAAGGAGGAGGGGAAGGACCUGCUCGC